rnacentral:rRNA from 1 species
UACAGAGGGUGCAAGCGUUAAUCGGAAUUACUGGGCGUAAAGGGCGCGUAGGUGGUUGAUUAAGUUAGAUGUGAAAUCCCUGGGCUUAACCUAGGAAUUGCAUUUAAGACUGACUGACUAGAGUACUGUAGAGGGUAGCGGAAUUUCCGGUGUAGCGGUGAAAUGCGUAGAGAUCGGAAGGAACACCAGUGGCGAAGGCGGCUACCUGGACAGAUACAGACGCUGAGGCGCGAGAGCGUGGGGAGCAAACAGG